rnacentral:tRNA from 1 species
GGAGCGAUUAGCUCAGUGGAAGAGUAUGUGCUUAGUAUUCACGAGGUCCUGGAUUCAAUCCCCAGUACCUCCA